AAUAAUGUUGAGAAGGCAAAACAAAUAUAUAUCACACUUUCUCUAUUGAGCUAUAACUCAUAUCUAAAGUUUUACUUUACAUCAUAAUCAUCUUAUGCAUAAUUUAAGUAACGGAUUUUAGAACUUGGAUCAGAUGAGAAGUGUGUGUACUAAUAAU
rnacentral:sRNA from 1 species